AACGAACGCUGGCGGCGCGUCUUAAGCAUGCAAGUCGAGCGGCAAGGGCAGCAAUGCCCCUAGAGCGGCGGACUGGUGAGUAACGCGUAGGUGAUCUACCUCUGGGAUGGGGAUAGCUUGUGGAAACACAGGAUAAUACCGAAUACGCUUGCCGGACCAUGGUUUGGCAAGGAAAGGCCCGUUUGGGCCGUCCGGAGAUGAGCCUGCGUCUGAUUAGCUUGUUGGCGGGGUAAUGGCCCACCAAGGCGAUGAUCAGUAGCCGGCCUGAGAGGGUGAACGGCCACAUUGGGACUGAGAUACGGCCCAAACUCCUACGGGUGGCUG
rnacentral:rRNA from 1 species